rnacentral:tRNA from 2 species
GAAGUGAGAUAUUCAGUCCUGAGCUUCUAACUCAGCAACUUAGUGGUGUAAUUCCAUUAGCUCUUCA